UCUCUUUUUUUGGCUGGUCGGUGCGGGAGGGAGCCGCCCUGGGCUGGGAUCACAUGAUAUUGUCUUCGCGCCACUUUCGUAAAACCCUUUUUAUUCCAGGGCUCUGCUCGGGCUAAAAGGUACCGUUGGCUCCUGUGCUUCAGUCAAGAUACUUCUGCGAUGCCUCACCUGCCCUGAAACGAGGAGACCUUUUAAGUGGAAGAGUUUCUGUCUGUUGAUGGGCCUUGAGUUGUGCAAAAGUGCUUACAGUGCAGGUAGAGUUCAGGAUCUACUGCAGUAUAAGCACUUCUGGCAUGACUGUGGCGAUUCAGUGACAGUAGCAGGGCACAGGCGUGACCGGGACCGUUGUUUUGCUGCGUUACAAAUGGUUCUUGUGUUAAGGUGCAUCUAGUGCAGUUAGUGAAGUAGCGUAGAAUCUACUGCCCUAAAUGCUCCUUCUGGCACAAGCUGCUGCCUGCACGUCCAAAACCACGCAUCCAUCUGGCUUAGCUCAGCAAUUACAAUUUUAGGUAAAUCAUUUUGUUCAUUGAAGGCAAUUGCUCAGGAAAUAAGUUUUGUCCUAGCAGUAUCAAAGUGCUCAUAGUGCAGGUAGCUUUGAAUUGGACCUACUGUAAUGUGGGCACUUACAGUACUGCUAGAUAAAGUGCAUCCUAGCUAGUGGCAGUUUCUGGAGAAGAUGGUCCUGAUUACAGUCAGUUUUGCAGGUUUGCAUCCCAGCUUACUAAAAUUGCUGUGCAAAUCCAUGCAAAACUGACUGUGGUGGUGGUGAAUCUGUGGUGGAUAAUGGGUUUUGAAGCUUUCUGUUUUUUUCCGUCAAGAUCUGAAGAUGCCUUGCGCUGGUUUCUCCAUGGGUGGGGAUUUGUUGCAUUACUUGUAGCUAUGUGUAGAGUAUUGCACUUGUCCCGGCCUGUGGAGGAAAGGAGGACUUGUCUUCAGGCUGCGCUGCUUAACGUUUGCCAGUUUGGUAAGCUUUGUUUUGCUGUUGUCGGGUGGAUCACGAUGCAAUUUUGAUUAGUUUAGUAGGAGAAAAAUUGCACGGUAUCCAUCUGUAAACCGCAAGACCUUCAUCGCUGACAACAUAGCCUUUGUCAGAAAUCAAUUCUCACAGCAGUCUGUAGCAAUGUGCAUAACAGCUUGCUGGUGACUCCGCAGCUUACAGGGAUGGGAAGAGACUCCAGACACUAAGGUUUGUCUAUCAUUUGAAAAGGGGGGGGGGGGGGGGGGGAAGUCCUGGGACAGUUGCAGUGGUCCAGGGAAGGGUGUUUGGGGAGUGUUUUUGUAAGAACAUGUAAAUUACUGUGGUGUACUUAAUAAAGAGAUUUUUAAAUAAAA